rnacentral:rRNA from 1 species
CCAGACUCCUACGGGAGGCAGCAGUGGGGAAUAUUGCACAAUGGGGGAAACCCUGAUGCAGCAACGCCGCGUGGGUGAAGGAGCGUUUCGGCGCGUAAAGCCCUGUCAGCGGGGAAGAAGAAAGACGGUACCUGACCAAGAAGCCCCGGCUAACUACGUGCCAGCAGCCGCGGUAAUACGUAGGGGGCGAGCGUUAUCCGGAAUUACUGGGUGUAAAGGGAGCGUAGACGGCGAGGUAAGCCUGAAGUGGAAGCCCGCGGCCCAACCGCGGAACUGCUCUGGAAACUGCGGCGCUGGAGUACGGGAGGGGCAGGCGGAAUUCCUGGUGUAGCGGUGAAAUGCGUAGAUAUCAGGAGGAACACCGGCGGCGAAGGCGGCCUGCUGGACCGUGACUGACGUUGAGGCUCGAGAGCGUGGGGAGCAAACAGGAUUAGAUACCCUCGUA